rnacentral:rRNA from 1 species
CUUAAGUGGGGAAUAACGCAUNGAAAGAUGUGCUAAUACCGCAUAUCUCUGAGGAGAAAAGCAGGGGAUCGCAAGACCUUGCGCUAAAGGAGCGGCCGAUGUCUGAUUAGCUAGUUGGUGGGGUAAAGGCUUACCAAGGCAACGAUCAGUAGUUGGUCUGAGAGGACGGCCAACCACACUGGGACUGAGACACGGCCCAGACUCCUACGGGAGGCGGCAGUGGGGAAUUUUGGACAAUGGGCGAAAGCCUGAUCCAGCCAUGCCGCGUGAGUGAAGAAGGCCUUCGGGUUGUAAAGCUCUUUUAGUCGGAAAGAAAGAGUUGCAAUGAAUNAUUGCGAUUUAUGACGGUACCGACNGAANAAGCNCCGGCUAACUACGUGCCAGCAGCCGCGGUAAUACGUAGGGUGCGAGCGUUAAUCGGAAUUAUUGGGCGUAAAGGGUGCGUAGGCGGAUAUAUAAGUUANAUGUGAAAAGCCAGGGCUUAACCUUGGUACGNGCAUUUAAGACUGUAUGUCUAGAGUUUGUAAGAGGGGGGUAGAAUUNCAAGUGUAGCAGUGAAAUGCGUANAGAUUUGGAGGAAUACCGAUGGCGAAGGCAGCCCCCUGGUAUANAACUGACGCUGAUGCACGAAAGCGUGGGUAGCAAACAGGAUUAGAUACCCUGGUAGUCCACGCCCUAAACGAUGNNAACUAGUUGUNGGAUNUAAUUANGGAUUUGGUAACGUAUCUAACGCGUGAAGUUGACCGUNUGGGGAGNACGGUCGCAAGAUUAAANCUCANNGGAAUUGACGGGNACCCGCACAAGCGGNGNAUUAUGUGGAUUAAUUNNANGCAACGCGAAAAANCUUANCUACNCUUGANNUGCUUGGC